AACGAACGCUGGCGGCAGGCCUAACACAUGCAAGUCGAACGGGAUCUUCGGAUCUAGUGGCGGACGGGUGAGUAACGCGUGGGAACGUGCCCUUUGGUUCGGAAUAGCCCUGGGAAACUGGGAGUAAUACCGGAUGUGGUCGAGAGACGAAAGAUUUAUCGCCAAAGGAUCGGCCCGCGUUGGAUUAGGUAGUUGGUGGGGUAAUGGCCUACCAAGCCGACGAUCCAUAGCUGGUUGGAGAGGAUGAUCAGCCACACUGGGACUGAGACACGGCCCAGACGCCUACGGGAUGCAGCAGUGGGGAAUCUUAGACAAUGGGGGAAAACCUGAUCUAGCCAUGGCGCGUGAGCGAUGAAGGCCUUAGGGUUGUAAAGCUCUUUCGUGGGGGAAGAUAAUGACUGUACCCCAAGAAGAAGCCCCGGCUAACUCCGUGCCAGCCGCCGCCGUAAAAC
rnacentral:rRNA from 1 species